CAAUAGCGUAUAUUAAAGUUGUUGCAGUUAAAAAGCUCGUAGUUGGAUUUCUGGUUGAAGCGACCGGUCGGGCGUUGAUUCGUCUGCACUGGAGUCGGUUUUGGCCAUCCUCUAGGAAAGUGCGUCUGGUAUUAAGUUAUCGGGCGUAUGAUCCUGGUCUUUUACUGUGAAAAAAUUAGAGUGUUUAAAGCAGGCCUUCGCCUUGAAUACAUUAGCAUGGAAUAAUAAGAUAGGACUUUGGUCUAUUUUGUUGGUUUGCAGACCGAAGUAAUGAUUAAUAGGGAUAGUUGGGGGUAUUUAUAUUCCGAUGCCAGAGGUGAAAUUCUUAGAUUUUCGGAAGAUAAACUUAUGCGAAAGCAUUUACCAAGGAUGUUUUCAUUAA
rnacentral:rRNA from 1 species